CGAAAUUCCAGCAAAAGCACCGUGCCUUUAACCCAAAGGCCUGGAAUCCGACAUCAUAGAUUCGCCCUCUUUGUGCCUUUCCCAACCGCUUCGGAGGCAGAAAUCGCCUGUGGGUCCCUAACUCCUGAUGUCGAACCACACCGAGGACUGGUAGGGAAGGAGCUUAAAGUGAGCGGCAGCAUGCUGGAGGUACACUGGAUCGCUGAAGAUUGUCGCCUCCUCCGAAUUUCCAUCAUGAACUUUCUUGACCAGCUUUCCCUAGUGGUGAACACCAUACAGCUCUUUGGGCCCCCGGUUUCCUGUUAAGCCUGGCUGGGGGCCCAUUCUGACCUUAUCUCCGUCUCCUCCUCAGCAAUACAAUUUUCCCUAUGGAAAAGAUUCUAGAAGUAGUAGCUACUGCAUAAAUGUGGAGACCUAAUUUUUUUUCCUGAUUUGGUCCUCAGGCACUUAGGGGCCAUUUGGUCUGGCGCUUCAAUGUUUGUUACUGAAGAAAAUAAAGCUAUGCUGCUAAUUUGCAUUUGAAAAAAAAAAAGAAAAGAAACUCUGAUGCUUAGGCUCUAAUAUCUCCCACUCAGCAAUCCCACUAACUUCUGGUAGAUACUGAGUACUUAGUGGGAAGAAGAGAGAAAUAAGAACAGAGAUAAAAUGAGUGUAUUAGGUAAGAGUAGCAUGGGCUCACAGACCAUCUAAAGAAGCAAUGGCCUGGCUUCCAUAAAGCCUCUUUAUUUUACAGGCUUAAAGUUUGCUUUCUCUCUCAAAUGCUGUGGACUUGGCUAACCCUGACCUUCAGUUGUAACUAAAUAGAAGUAGGAAAGUCCUAAAUUAGAGCUUUUAUGCCCUGCAGUGUUCUAUGCAGCGUGCCCUUUCCAGGCAGGCAGGCACAGACAAGGGAUGCUGCUCCUGUGUGAUUCACCCCUUCUGUUAGAGUUUUGAACAGCACAGUAACAGUGUGUUUGAGAUGACCCAGGAGGUCUCCAUGCAGGUCCCUGAGAACCCAGCCAUGAAGUGAGCCUGUUGUGAGCCUUGCUGUGCUUGCUGGUAUUCUUGUUGCUGUGACAAAAAUCUGACAAAAGCAGCAUAAGGACAGGUGGCCUGGACUCAUACUGUGUAGACACAUCAUGGGGUAUCAUGCGACAAGAGUUCAAGGCAUCUGGUCACAUUCCGUCUGCAGUCAGGAAGCAGAGAUAGACACAGAUCGGGUCAUGCACUUCAACCCACACUGGCGGCUGGCAGUCUUCCUGCCUGAGCCUUCAGAAUGGUGGGAUUACAGACUCCUGACACCGGCUUCAUCGUUUAGAUAUAGUUCUCCUAAGUAGGUCAGACUGGCUCAGGUUGGCCAUCCUCUGCAGUGCCAGGAUGACAGGCAUACGCCCCCAUCUUCCUCAGCACCACUUCUAAGUGUUCAGUACAAUAAUGUUAACUAAACGUUUCUUGUAGGUAAAA